AACGUCUGACACAGGUGCUGCAUGGCUGUCGUCAGCUCGGUGUCGUGAGAUGUUGGGUUAAGUCCGUACGAGCGCAACCCUUGUCCUUAGUUACCAGCACGUUAUGGUGGGCACUCUAAGGAGACUGCCGGUGACAAACCGGAGGAAGGUGGGGAUGACGUCAAGUCAUCAUGGCCCUUACGGCCUGGGCUACACACGUGCUACAAUGGUCGGUACAAAGGGUUGCCAAGCCGCGAGGUGGAGCUAAUCCCAUAAAACCGAUCGUAGUCCGGAUCGCAGUCUGCAACUCGACUGCGUGAAGUCGGAAUCGCUAGUAAUCGUGAAUCAGAAUGUCACGGUGAAUACGUUCCCGGGCCUU
rnacentral:rRNA from 1 species